rnacentral:rRNA from 1 species
UAUUUAUUUUAUUAUAUUUAUUUUUUGUUUAUUUAAUUAUUUAAUAAAAAUAAUUUUGUUGAAUUUUGUCUUAGUAUAUUUUGUAGAAUUGAUUUUUUAGAUUAUAGUUUAUUGGUAAUGUAAUUGUUUUAUGAAAUAUUAUUUUAAAUUUUUAAAAGUAGAUUUUAUUUAUUGUACCUUUUGUAUCAGGGUUUAUCAAAAUUUUAGUAUUUACUUUACUUGUCUCGAUUUGGGUUGAUUUAUAAAUAAUUUAUAGUGAAUGGAUCACACUUCUUAUUAAAUUAUUUAUAGAAAUGAGAUGUUAACCGUUUCCCAAGAUAUCUAGUUUCUUAAGAAAAAAUUUAAUUUUUUAAAGUUAAUUGUUUUUAUUUAAUUUUUUAAGUAUAAAUAUUAACUUAUUUAUUCUUUAAGGGAUAAGCUUUGAAGUUAAUAACCUAUAAUUUGUUUUAAAAAAAUAUAAUAGUAAGCUUUAAACCCGCUAUCUUUAAGAUUACGUUUUAGUUCAUUAUUUUUAUUUUUGAUUUUAUAACUAUUUUAGGUUUUUUAUUAAGAUUAUAAAUUUAAUUUUUAAAUUUUUGUAAUAAUGAUAGAAUUAGUAUAUUUAUUUGUAUAUAAUUUUUACCUUGUUAAUUUAUUAUAAGGAACUAGGC